rnacentral:misc_RNA from 1 species
UCCGGUUUGACACCGGCGGUCUCCCAUGAGUCCCCGGCAUUACCCGCUGGCAACAUGGAACAGGGGUUGCGCUCGUUGCGCCACUUAAGGCAACACCUCACGGCACGAGCUGACGACAGCCAUGCAGCACCUGUGCCGGCUCCCGAAGGAGCCCCGUGUUUCCACAGGUUCACCCGGCAUGUCAAGCCCUGGUAAGGUUCUUCGCGUUGCGUCGAAUUGAGCCACAUGCUCCGCCGCUUGUGCGGGUCCCCGUCAAUUCCUUUGAGUUUUAGCCUUGCGGCCGUACUCCCCAGGCGGGGUGCUUAAUGCGUUAGCUUCGACACGGAGACCGUGAACUGGUCCCCACAUCUAGCACCCAUCGUUUACGGCAUGGACUAC